rnacentral:rRNA from 1 species
GUAGUCCACGCUGUAAACGAUGGGUACUAGGUCAGGUGGGUAUUGACCCCUGCCGGACCGGAGCUAACGCGAUAAGUACCCCGCCUGGGAAGUACGGUCGCAAGACUAAAACUCAAAGGAAUUGACGGGGGCCCGCACAAGCGGUGGAUCAUGUGGUUUAAUUCGAAGCAACGCGAAGAACCUUACCUGGGUUUGACAUCCCUCGACAGUAAUAGAAAUAUUAUCUCUGUAGCAAUACAGCGGGGAGACAGGUGCUGCAUGGCUGUCGUCAGCUCGUGUGGUGACAUGUUGGGUUAAGUCCCGCAACGAGCGCAACCCUUGUCCUUAGUUGCCAUCAUUAAGUUGGGCUCUCUAAGGAGACUGCCGUGGUUAACACGGA